AACCAGUACCGUGAGGGAAAGGUGAAAAGCACCCCGGAAGGGGAGUGAAAUAGAACCUGAAACCGUGUGCUUACAAGUAGUCAGAGCCCGUUAAUGGGUGAUGGCGUGCCUUUUGUAGAAUGAACCGGCGAGUUACGAUUUGAUGCAAGGUUAAGCAGUAAAUGUGGAGCCGUAGCGAAAGCGAGUCUGAAUAGGGCGUUUAGUAUUUGGUCGUAGACCCGAAACCAGGUGAUCUACCCUUGGUCAGGUUGAAGUUCAGGUAACACUGAAUGGAGGACCGAACCGACUUACGUUGAAAAGUGAGCGGAUGAACUGAGGGUAGCGGAGAAAUUCCAAUCGAACCUGGAGAUAGCUGGUUCUCUCCGAAAUAGCUUUAGGGCUAGCCUCAAGUGAUGAUUAUUGGAGGUAGAGCACUGUUUGGACGAGGGGCCCCUCUCGGGUUACCGAAUUCAGACAAACUCCGAAUGCCAAUUAAUUUAACUUGGGAGUCAGAACAUGGGUGAUAAGGUCCGUGUUCGAAAGGGAAACAGCCCAGACCACCAGCUAAGGUCCCAAAAUAUAUGUUAAGUGGAAAAGGAUGUGGCGUUGCCCAGACAACUA
rnacentral:rRNA from 1 species